ensembl:lncRNA
CAGCCAGCCUCUCUCAAAACAAUUUUUUCACUAGCGAAGCCAAGAUUAAAGUGAGCUGCAGAGAGAAGUUUAAUUGAUGCCGUGGGAUUAAAGCGCAGUGACUUCAUGUUUACGCCCAUCCUCCAGGAGCAGCUCGGUUCGCGCACGGGAGGUUACGCCCCGGGCAGCGAAGCCUUUUGUGCUCCCUGCGGCUCGGUAACAAUGCGGCCCGCCUUCCGCGUCCCCGGAGCUGGGCUUUCCCGGGAGCUGCAGGCGGGGGAGAGAGCCAGCCCCGCGGGUCUCGGCGGGAGCGGGAGGGCGCUUACCCCUGCAGCUGCUGCUUCGGGUGAACCUGCGGCCGGGAGCCCGCGCCGCUCUGCGUCUCCUGCGGCACCUUGGAGCGCGCAGCUUGCCGGCCCUGCCUGGCGAACGGGGCGGCCGCCGGGUGGCCGACGGCCUUGGGCAGCAGCUGCCCGCCGGGGGCCCCGGGACGCGCGGGCUCGGGGGGCGACGGCGGCCGGAGCCCCUGCAGGGCCGCGCCUCCCGGCUUGCUCGUGCGCCGGCUCCGCUCCGAGGGGGCGCCCGCCGAGCCGCGGCUGUACCUGGCGUUGAGCGCGACGUUGAAGGUCCGCGGGCGCGGCGGCCCGGCCAGGGGAGAGGCGACUGCCGCCAGGCCGGGGCCCGGGCGCACCACGUACGUGAUCCUCCGCAACCGGCCGCGCGCGCAGCACGCCAGCAGCCCGGCGCACAGCAGCAGCCCCCACCUGAGCCAGGGCCCCGCCAUUGCCGGCCGCGGCUCCUCCCGGCCCCCGCCCCCGGCCGCGCGGCUCGGCUUCCCCGCGCUCGGGCGCCCCGAGAACCGCGAGACCCGCGCCCGAGCAAGGAAGUGCGGCGGCGCCCGAGCAGCACGGACCCGGGCCGAGAGCGGCGGAAGAGGGGCGAGGCCGCAAGGACCUCAGCCCAGCUGCCUGAGCACCGGCUUCCUGUGAGAACACAGCCUGACAGCCACUGUCCUAGAAUAAAUAGCCCUGACCAGGAGGGAAGAGAUCUCCGUUCCAGCCUAACACUCUUUGCUGCACAUUGGUUAAAGGACCUCUCUGAACUCCAUCUCCUCCAUAACGUUGGGGAGCUGCAUUAAGAGUCUCUCCCAGCCCUAAGAGUCUGUGGCUGGAAGAGCAUACAAGGUCCUUCUGGACAGGAUCGUUCCAGGUCAGCCUCUGAGACAGGCCAAAGUGAACCAGCAGAGAAAAUGGAAGGAGCAGAGUUAAGAAAUUGCCUCUGCACUAGUUUCUGUUGGAAAAAUGCGAAGCAAACUAAUAAAUAUCCACCAUGUGCAUGCUCUGAAGAAGGCGCAAGAGCAGGAACUUCUAGAGAUACGAUGCCUUUGUCUUUGAGAAAGAUAGCUGGUUUCAAAGGGCAGAUCCAAAGCUUAAAAAAGACAACUGAAUUCAGCCACACGUGAGGAGAAUACUAGAACUCUCACAAGGCGGGAGCAGACUUCUAUACCAUAGUAUAGCCCACAAUUCUAUAUCAUCUUACACAGUUCACAACCUGCUGGGAAAAUACUUCCUACCUGCAACUCAAAUCACUCUGUGAAAAUUUGACCUCUCAAUUAGGGAUUAUAUAGCAGCAGUUUAAGUAGACAGGGAGUGGGGUGGGGUGUCUAGCAGAGCUGACAACAUUCUGAAGAGCCAGGAGAGGAGGGGAGGCCUCGGGCAGGUGAAAAUUCAGAAAAUGGUAAAGGACACAAGCACCAGCCAGAAUGGACUGCACCUGUUUUCAGUGGUGAGUGGGAUUUUCCAGUGGGUCACUCCCAGGGCACUGGCAGGUGGAUGGCAUUCAUGGAAGCAGAGGAAGCUGCAUGUAGAAGGCACUCUGGGGAUGGGGUGAGGAUAGCAUGCUGCUCUCUGUCCUGUGGGAACUUGGGGAAAUCAUUUCACCUCUCUGUGCUUCAGUUUAGUUUCCAGAUGGCCUGGGAACCUGCCUGAGAUCCUUGCAAGUGAAGGGAAAUGACCUUUGCCAUACUUUAUGACUUGAAAAAAUUUUUUUUCUACCUUUAAAAAUAUACAACACAAUCUUCCCUUCCCUUCUCUUGACCCACAGUACCGUGGGAUGGGUAUUUCAGGCCAGUCUUUGAGGAAGUUGCAACCUGCUUUAUGUCAGAUGUGGAGAGAACAGUGUGCUAGCAAGAUAAUCCUUGAAAAAUGUAUUGUGCUCCCCAUGUACUAUCAUAGGAGAUGGUUGCUCAUCUAAAACAGUGAACUCACUGUUAUUCCAAAAGUGAAAGCUCAGUUUUUGUCAGGCUUGGGGACCAGCUUUGCCAAGUCUAGACCCAGUUUAAUGCCAUGGAUCCUGGACUUAAAGCCCCUUAAGGUUCAAGGUCCAUUUAUAUUGGCAAUACACAACUUCCUGGUUCAAAAACCAAGUCUUUAAAGAUCUCAUAAAAGUUUUUGGACUUCAGAUGGUUUUUACAAAACAAUACUCAGAUGAGCUAAGUGUAAAUGAAUCAGAAAAGAGGAUUAUGUUUCCCAUAAAAACUCAUGGGUUUGAGGAUUAGGAGAAGAAAGAAAGGGCUGGCAAACGCCAAAACAUUUUAAAGCACUUUGAGACCAUUAGUCAAAUUCAAAAUGUAGCCAAAUUUCCUCAUCUUUACACUUUAUGAGUUUUGUAAUUGAAAAUCUUUUCCUACAUUUAAGAUCAGCUACAAAUCAAAUUUAGUGGCUGUGUAUGAUCAGAACUGCUUCCACCCAUGUUUUCUGCCAGCCAAGGAUUUCAUUUUUUCAUCAAAAAAAUUCUUAGGAAGAGAAAGGAGGAGGAGAGGGGGAGAACACAAAGGCAGGAGACUAUACACAAAGGGAAGAGCAAGGAGAGGGGCAGAGGCUGUAGGGUGGGAAGUGCUAUGGGUCCUGGAUGAGGGUCCCCCAAAGGUGGGUAUGGCAAAGGCUUGGUCCUCAGGGUGGUGCUCUUGGGAAGUGGUGGACCCUUUAAGAGGAAGAGGUCCUUAGGUCAAGGGGCUUGUGGGACCCUAGCCUCUUCCUAUUGUUUUGAUUCCCAGUUCCUAAGGUGGUCAGUUUGCUGGAUCACAUGCUCCUCCCCUGUACUGCCUCUCAGAGGCCCAAGGAAAUGGGGCCACUUGAUCAUGAACUAGAACCUCCAAAAUCAUAAGCUAAAUAAGCCCUUUCUCUUAUAAGCUGAUUGCCUCAAGUAUUUCAUUAUAAUGAUAGAAAGCUCUUUAAUACAAGAGAGAAAGUGGGAAAGGUGCUUUGAAAGAAUCAGGUGUAGAGUGGAAGGAGGGGCAAAAACUGAGUAGAGGUAAAGAAGAGGAAUGAAUUGGAAUAGGAAGAAGCCAGGAAAGGAAGAAGUCAGUGGAGGAGAAAGGGAGCAGACAGAAGGCGAGGAGACUAAAGGGGAGAAGUGAAAUGUGGAGAGCAGAGUUAGAAACAACCUGAGCUGCAUUUGCUCAGUCUGCUCACUAGAACUCUGGCAGCCUUUCCUAAACAUCAGCUAGUUCUGACCUGGACAUCAGCUCGGCCAGGUUUGAACUAGAAUUAAACUCAUGCCCAUACAGGAAGUCUCACCUUCUCCUGCAUAAUCAGGAAGCCGAAGAUGGAAUGUUUAGCUGGAGACACCCCUCUCUUUUGCUUUCAACUAUUUCCUCAAAAAAUGGGAGUGAGGGAAAUUAGAGGCAUGUGACCUCCUCUUACCUGAACUGACUUUGAUGAGAUAUAACAUGAUGCUUUACAGAUGAAGAAUUAAAGCUGAAACCUGGUAAAGAUGCCAGUGUCUGUCUGCUGAGGUGCCGGUCUGCUUUGCAGGAAAAAAAAAUGAGUAGAACUGAGAGUUGUCCCAGUGUCUCCCUUCCCUUAAAGCAUCUUUAGUUAUUAUUCAACAACCGCUUGUUGAACAGUUACAGGGCCUUCAGCUGGCCUAUGCGGAACCUAACAGCAAAUUCAAAAAGGGCUUCCAUUUUAAGUGGAGAAGUUAAAUAUGCUGUUGGAUCGCAGCUCAAAGUUCCCCUUGAGCCAGUGAAUACCUCUGUGCUGGCCCUAGGUGCCUGGC